rnacentral:SRP_RNA from 1 species
GGCUUGGCCCUGCGCGGCCAGAACUUCCCGAAUCCCGCCAGGCCCGAGAGGGAGCACCGGUACGGAAUCAUUCUGGGGUGCCGCAGUCUGCCGAGCUGGA